rnacentral:misc_RNA from 1 species
CCCUCACAAAGGCUCAGCUCCUCUUCAAAUGCAUAAGUGGAAAUCCUUUUGCUGUCCCAGCGUGAUAAUUAUCUACGUUGCGGCAGUGAAGCAGUUGGACUUCUGCCUACAACCGUUGCGAACGUGCAACAGGGGCUCACCCCCCCUAAACCUUUUGACAAUUUGACCUCAAAUCAGGUAGGAUUACCCGCUGAACUUAA